rnacentral:rRNA from 1 species
CCUACGGGAGGCUGCAGUGAGGAAUAUUGGUCAAUGGACGAGAGUCUGAACCAGCCAAGUAGCGUGAAGGAUGACUGCCCUAUGGGUUGUAAACUUCUUUUAUAAAGGAAUAAAACGAGGCACGUGUGCCUUUUUGUAUGUACCUUAUGAAUAAGGAUCGGCUAACUCCGUGCCAGCAGCCGCGGUAAUACGGAGGAUCCGAGCGUUAUCCGGAUUUAUUGGGUUUAAAGGGAGCGUAGAUGGGUUGUUAAGUCAGUUGUGAAAGUUUGCGGCUCAACCGUAAAAUUGCAAUUGAUACUGGCAGUCUUGAGUACAGUUGAGGUAGGCGGAAUUCGUGGUGUAGCGGUGAAAUGCUUAGAUAUCACGAAGAACCCCGAUUGCGAAGGCAGCUUACUAAACUGUAACUGACAUUGAUGCUCGAAAGUGUGGGUAUCAAACAGGAUUAGAUACCCUAGUAGUC